rnacentral:rRNA from 1 species
GACGAACGCUGGCGGCGUGCCUAAUACAUGCAAGUAGAACGCACAGUUUAUACCGUAGCUUGCUACACCAUAGACUGUGAGUUGCGAACGGGUGAGUAACGCGUAGGUAACCUGCCUGGUAGCGGGGGAUAACUAUUGGAAACGAUAGCUAAUACCGCAUAAUAUUGAUUAUUGCAUGAUAAUUGAUUGAAAGAUGCUAUUGCAUCACUACCAGAUGGACCUGCGUUGUAUUAGCUAGUAGGUGAGGUAACGGCUCACCUAGGCGACGAUACAUAGCCGACCUGAGAGGGUGAUCGGCCACACUGGGACUGAGACACGGCCCAGACGCCUACGGGAGGCAGCAGUAGGGAAUCUUCGGAAAUGGACGAAAGGCUGACCGAGCAACGCCGCGUGAGUGAAGAAGGUUUUCGGAUCGUAAAGCUCUGUUGUAAGAGAAGAACGGGUGUGAGAGUGGAAAGUUCACACUGUGACGGUAUCUUACCAGAAAGGGACGGCUAACUACGUG